CUACCCCUGUAGAGAGGGGUAUGGUGUGGGAGGAUAGCCUCUAGACUUCUCCACCCACUUCUUUUUCCUGUGAUUGCUUUUGAGGGUUCACCCUUUUCUCUCCACUCUGUGCAUCUGAGGAAAAGUCUCGGAAUAUCAAGUCUUGGCUUCCCAAGAUUUUGCUGAAAGGCAUAAAAAGGAAUGGAAUACCAACAAUACAAUAGAUUCAUUUCACCUAGGCUCUUCAAGGAUGAAGGCUUCAUCUUCAUACAUCCGAUUGCAGGAUUGGGGCCUAACACACAAUGGCACUAAACAUCUUUUCCUAGAACUUAGAGCUAGGAAGACUGCAACUCAAGUUUCAGUCUAUUGUGAUGCCAAUAUUCCACUACUCCUGUAGUCCUCCUACCAAAAAGUCAAGACCAAAUAUUUCUAAUGUUAGUUUUUAAAAAAAGACAGAAAAAUUCCUUGAGACUGUCUUAGAUAUCAUAAUAAAGCAAUAAUGGAUACAAACGUAA